AAAUUGAAGAGUUUGAUCAUGGCUCAGAUUGAACGCUGGCGGCAGGCCUAACACAUGCAAGUCGAACGGUAACAGGAAACAGCUUGCUGUUUCGCUGACGAGUGGCGGACGGGUGAGUAAUGUCUGGGAAACUGCCUGAUGGAGGGGGAUAACUACUGGAAACGGUAGCUAAUACCGCAUAAUGUCGCAAGACUAAAGAGGGGGACCUUCGGGCCUCUUGCCAUCGGAUGUGCCCAGAUGGGAUUAGCUAGUAGGUGGGGUAACGGCUAACCUAGGCGACGAUCCCUAGCUGGUCUGAGAGGAUGACCAGCCACACUGGAACUGAGACACGGUCCAGACUCCUACGGGAGGCAGCAGUGGGGAAUAUUGCACAAUGGGCGCAAGCCUGAUGCAGCCAUGCCGCGUGUAUGAAGAAGGCCUUCGGGUUGUAAAGUACUUU
rnacentral:rRNA from 1 species